CAUGCAUGUGAAACUGACUUGCAUCAUCACAACACUUCUUAUCAACUUCUAAACAAUAUAUUAGGAGGAAGUUUUUCACCCAGAGGGUGGUGACACACUGGAACAGGUUGCCCAAGGAGGCUGUGGAUGCCCCAUCCCUGGAGGCAUUCAAGGCCAGGCUGGAUGUGACUCUGGGCAGCCAGGUCUGGUGGUUGGUGACCCAGCACAUAGCAGGGGGGUUGAAACUAGAUAAUCACUGUGGUCCUUUUCAACCCAGGACAUUCUAUGAUAUGAUAUGAUAAGAGUGCACAGGUUUAUACAGGAUUUUUUUUAUUCUCCUGUAGGCAUUCAGUCUUCAAAAGCCAGGACCAUGCAAAAGAAUUUUGAAUAGAUUGAACCUGGGGACGUUUCUGGUUCAACUAGUACUAAUGGAAUGUUGGCUUUGGAAAAUGAAAACUCCGCAGUCUGGUGCUGGAAGAAUUAGAAGGAUUUGAAACAUGGGAAAAUAAUGGAGAAACAGCUUUGAAAUGGCUAUUCAUCUCCUGCAAAUACACCCACUGGACAAGUGGGACAGAUACAAGCUGCAAAACAAGUGGUCAGCCCCUCAGCCCUGCAAAAGUUAGAAAGGAGUGGGGAGAAGAAAUGGUGCAGGUGGCAACAUCUUAGAGACCUCUAAAGUGGAUCCACAGCCUAGGUGGAGCAUCCUGUUCUACUAAAGGUGUUAGAAACACUUCUAUCCCAUCUCUGUGUCUUUGGGUUGAGCCCAGAAAACUUCAGUGACUUCUGGAAGAGAUGAGAUGAUGAAACUGUACCUGAACAGCAACAUGAAUUCGUAACUUGCUGGCAGCAUGGGCUGUGUUAUAUGUGGUCUGCCUGUUCCUGCUUUACUCAGAGAGUACCAACAGCAAGCCUCAAAUGGCUGCAGAAGUCAGAUUGUGAGAGCUGUCCUGUGGAAGGUAAACUGCGAUUGUCAUUCUUCUUCCCUAGAUGUUAAUCUCACUAGGGCAAAGGCCAGAUUAUCAACAGAAAAUCUCAGUGUAUGAAAGAUUAGAUUGACUGGGACAGGUAAGUACAGAUUUUUUUUAACUUUUUCUGUCCCUUUUACUUCUGAAUAAAAUAAAUAAGUACCGAAAUCCUUAUCUCCUU
rnacentral:lncRNA from 1 species